rfam:Glycine soja cultivar W05 scaffold1513_7, whole genome shotgun sequence.
UUCUUAUUAGAUGAUGGCUGUCAUGUGUCAUGUUGUGAUUGGUCAAUGAAAACAACAAUUCAUUCUAUCUUUCAUGGAGUUGACAUUUAAUCAGAACAUGACACGUGACAAUCAUUAUCC